rnacentral:misc_RNA from 1 species
GUAGGUGAACCUGCGGAAGGAUCAUUAGAAAUCAAAAUUUUUUUAUUCAAAAAAUUGAAACAUUUUAAAAUAAAAACCCAAAAAUUUUAAGAUAAUUAAGACAACUUUCAACAACGGAUCUCUUGGCUCUU